rnacentral:rRNA from 1 species
UACAGAGGGGGCAAGCGUUGUUCGGAAUUACUGGGCGUAAAGGGCGCGUAGGCGGCCCGCUAAGUCGAACGUGAAAUCUCCGGGCUUAACCCGGAGCGGCCAAGUGAUACUGUCGUGCUAGAGUGCGGAAGGGGCUACUGGAAUUCUCGGUGUAGCGGUGAAAUGCGCAGAUAUCAGGAGGAACACCAAUUGCGAAGGCAGCUCGCUGGGACGUUACUGACGCUGAGACGCGAAAGCGUGGGGAGCAAACAGG